rnacentral:rRNA from 1 species
UCUUGGUCAUUUAGAGGAAGUAAAAGUCGUAACAAGGUUUCCGUAGGUGAACCUGCGGAAGGAUCAUUACCGAACUGUCGACAGGAGCUGUUGCUGGCCCUCGGAAGGGGGCACGUGCACGCUCUGUUUACACAUCCACUCACACCUGUGCACCCUCUGUAGUUCUAUGGCCUUGGGGACCCCGUCCCCUUGCCGUGGUCCUACGUCUUUACACACACACCGUAACAAAGUAUCAUGGAAUGUAUGUCGCGUUUAACGCAAUACAAUACAACUUUCAGCAACGGAUCUCUUGGCUCUCGCAUCGAUGAAGAACGCAGCGAAAUGCGAUAAGUAAUGUGAAUUGCAGAAUUCAGUGAAUCAUCGAAUCUUUGAACGCACCUUGCGCCCUUUGGCUAUUCUGAAGGGCAUGCCUGUUUGAGUAUCAUGAACACCUCAACUCUCAUGGUCCGCCAUGAUGAGCUUGGACUUUGGGGGUCUUGCCGGCCUAGCGUCGGCUCCUCUCAAAUGGAUCAGCUUCCCAGUGUUUGGUGGCGUCACAGGUGUGAUAACUAUCUACGCUUGUGGUUUUCCGCCAUUAACCUUCAGCAAUGGAGGUUCGCUGGAGCUCACAGAUGUCUCUCCUUGGGGAGGACGGCUUCUUGAAUGUCUGACUC